rnacentral:rRNA from 1 species
AGCAAACAGGAUUAGAUACCCUGGUAGUCCACGCUGUAAACGAUGUCGAUUUAGAGGUUGUGGUUUUGAACCGUGGCUUCUGGAGCUAACGCGUUAAAUCGACCGCCUGGGGAGUACGGCGGCAAGGUUAAAACUCAAAUGAAUUGACGGGGGCCCGCACAAGCGGUGGAGCAUGUGGUUUAAUUCGAUGCAACGCGAAGAACCUUACCUACUCUUGACAUCCAGCGAAUCCAUUAGAGAUAGAGGAGUGCCUUCGGGAACGCUGAGACAGGUGCUGCAUGGCUGUCGUCAGCUCGUGUUGUGAAAUGUUGGGUUAAGUCCCGCAACGAGCGCAACCCUUAUCCUUUGUUGCCAGCACGUAAUGGUGGGAACUCAAAGGAGACUGCCGGUGAUAAACCGGAGGAAGGUGGGGAUGACGUCAAGUCAUCAUGGCCCUUACGAGUAGGGCUACACACGUGCUACAAUGGCAGAUACAAAGAGAAGCGACCUCGCGAGAGCAAGCGGAACUCAUAAAGUCUGUCGUAGUCCGGAUUGGAGUCUGCAACUCGACUCCAUGAAGUCGGAAUCGCUAGUAAUCGUAGAUCAGAAUGCUACGGUGAAUACGUUCCCGGGC